rnacentral:rRNA from 1 species
AGAGUUUGAUCAUGGCUCAGGACGAACGCUGGCGGCGUGCUUAACACAUGCAAGUCGAACGGAAAGGCCCUUUCGGGGGUACUCGAGUGGCGAACGGGUGAGUAACACGUGGGUGAUCUGCCCUGCACUUUGGGAUAAGCCUGGGAAACUGGGUCUAAUACCGAAUACACCUUGCUGGUUGCAUGACUGGUUGGGGAAAGCUUUUGCGGUGUGGGAUGGGCCCGCGGCCUAUCAGCUUGUUGGUGGGGUGAUGGCCUACCAAGGCGACGACGGGUAGCCGGCCUGAGAGGGUGUCCGGCCACACUGGGACUGAGAUACGGCCCAGACUCCUACGGGAGGCAGCAGUGGGGAAUAUUGCACAAUGGGCGCAAGCCUGAUGCAGCGACGCCGCGUGAGGGAUGACGGCCUUCGGGUUGUAAACCUCUUUCAGUACCGACGAAGCGCGAGUGACGGUAGGUACAGAAGAAGCACCGGCCAACUACGUGCCAGCAGCGGCGGUAAUAC